AAGUCUACCUGUGCCUGCGCCCGCCGGGCCUGCCGGCCUCUUCCUUCUCAUUCAGGGGGCCUCUUCUCCAGCCUCACGGAGGUGGGAAGCUUGCUGGAGGCUCCUACCUGCCUUUUGGGGAAGACCCCGAGGCUGGCCCACGCCCUGCUGGCAGGACCCUUCCUGACUGGGUCCACCGUUCUUCUGGGUCUCACCACUUCUCCCAGCCCCUGGGCUGCUUCCUCUCUCCCGUGUCUGGGACCCCAGAGGCACCACUUCCAUUCCAUACAAGGUCUCCUGAUAGCAGGAACCUUGCUGCAUCUCCUACACUUCUCAAGAGCAGAAAUGAGCUCACUGCCCCACACCCAGGAUUCUCAUACCAUACUUGAGGACUCUCUGGUUUGGACAGACUACGAUUAAAUUGAUCACAACCUUUAGUUCUCAUGGUCUGGGAGGCCAUCUCCUCUCCUCAGACCCCGUCACUCUUCGAUCUCUCCUCUCAUUAACUCUGUCAGCACAGACUGCUCUCUCUUCCAGGACUCCAAGAGCUCCUCAUCACCCUCAUCUGCUGUAACAAGGAAAGAACCCACUUACCUGCUUCAAUACUAGGUUUUGCCCCCCGUCCCAUUUUCAAAAAGUCAGGCACAAAGUAAAACCCUGUAUUUAUUAUCCCUCCUAUUUUGAGGCUCCAGCUCUAGCCCCAGACCUUUUUUGAUAGGAGAAGGUAAUACAGUUUAUUUUCUAACUUGUUUCCCCUAGUUUUCUCCUGUCUCGUCACCCGUGUGAUCCACGUGUAUCAGAAGUGAUAGGUGGCUCAAGAUCAUUUUGGUCAGAUUUUAAAAAUAAAAUAUUUUCUCCUUUUAUGUCUAAAAA